rnacentral:rRNA from 1 species
UCCAGACUCCUACGGGAGGCAGCAGUGGGGGAUAUUGCACAAUGGGGGGAACCCUGAUGCAGCGACGCCGCGUGGGUGAAGGAGCGUUUCGGCGCGUAAAGCCCUAUCGGCAGGGAAGAAGGAGGACGGUACCUGACUAAGAAGCCCCGGCUAACUACGUGCCAGCAGCCGCGGUAAUACGUAGGGGGCAAGCGUUAUCCGGAUUUACUGGGUGUAAAGGGGGCGCAGACGGCAGCGCAAGCCAGGAGUGAAAGCCCGGGGCCCAACCCCGGGACUGCUCUUGGAACUGCGCGGCUGGAGUGCAGGAGGGGCAGGCGGAAUUCCUAGUGUAGCGGUGAAAUGCGUAGAUAUUAGGAGGAACACCGGCGGCGAAGGCGGCCUGCUGGACCGUAACUGACGUUGAGGCUCGAAAGCGUGGGGAGCAAACAGGAUUAGAUGCCCGCGUAAU